ensembl:snRNA U5 U5 spliceosomal RNA
AUACUCUGGUUUCUCGUCACAUCACAUCAAUCUUUCACCUUUUGCAAAAGAUUUCCAUGGAGAGGAACAAUUCUGUCCCUUUACCCAAUUUUUUGAGGUCUUCCAUUUGCAAAGAUC